rnacentral:lncRNA from 1 species
AACCAACAGGCUCAUUCUUAACACAAAAUUACACAGAAGUAAACUUAAGUCGAUAGUUCUAGAGUAGGGAUUUAGUCAAUUUAAAACAAAAUCGCAAAACUUUUCAAUAGUGAAACUCGAACCCCCGACCCUAAACAUAUAAGCGAACACUUAACCACAUAUAUCAAAACUUAAUUAUUAACAGACAUUAACAUGAAAACAUUCAAAUUUUCGGGGCAUUACAUAUAGUCACUGAAAUUUUUUGUAAAUUUUCCUAUAAUUCAAAUUUGUUCAAUUGUAUUCAAUUGUAGGCAAAUUUGGC